GCUUCCAUGCCUUAUUGGGUAGAGCGUCCGCCUCGGAUACGGGAGGUCGUGGGUUCGAUUCCCGGCUCAUUCAAACU